GGAGAGUUUGAUCCUGGCUCAGAUUGAACGCUGGCGGCAUGCCUUACACAUGCAAGUCGAACGGUAACGGGCCUUCGGGUGCCGACGAGUGGCGAACGGGUGAGUAAUGUAUCGGAACGUACCAUUCAGUGGGGGAUAACGUAGCGAAAGUUACGCUAAUACCGCAUAUUCUGUGAGCAGGAAAGCAGGGGAUCGCAAGACCUUGCGCUGAUUGAGCGGCCGAUAUCGGAUUAGCUAGUUGGUGAGGUAAAGGCUCACCAAGGCGACGAUCUGUAGCGGGUCUGAGAGGAUGAUCCGCCACACUGGAACUGAGACACGGUCCAGACUCCUACGGGAGGCAGCAGUGGGGAAUUUUGGACAAUGGGGGCAACCCUGAUCCAGCCAUGCCGCGUGAGUGAAGAAGGCCUUCGGGUUGUAAAGCUCUUUCGGCCGGGAAAAAAUCGCAUGGGUUAAUACCCUGUGUGGAUGAUGGUACCGGAAUAAGAAGCACCGGCUAACUACGUGCCAGCAGCCGCGGUAA
rnacentral:rRNA from 1 species